AACAAAUAUACGCUUAAUCAAUUAUGAGCGGGGGAUCCAAUAUUUUGUACGUAUGUACUAGGGGUGAAUCUCUUAACUGAGUAGGGUUACUUCCAUAACCCGAAUCCGACAGCUAACUCCGUAAGCGUUUUGGGAGUAAAA
rnacentral:sRNA from 3 species